rnacentral:rRNA from 1 species
UGUCUCAGUACAAGCCAAAUUAAGGUGAAACCGCGAAAGGCUCAUUAAAUCAGUUAUGGUUCCUUAGAUCGUACCCACACUUACUUGGAUAACUGUGGUAAUUCUAGAGCUAAUACAUGCAAACAGAGCUCCGACCGGAGACGGAAGGAGCGCUUUUAUUAGAUCAAAACCAAUCGGUGGCGGGUUCGCUCGUCAUCGUAUAACUUGGUGACUCUGAAUAACUUUAAGCUGAUCGCACGGUCUAGCACCGGCGACGCAUCUUUCAAAUGUCUGCCUUAUCAACUGUCGAUGGUAGGUUCUGCGCCUACCAUGGUCGUAACGGGUAACGGGGAAUCAGGGUUCGAUUCCGGAGAGGGAGCCUGAGAAACGGCUACCACAUCCAAGGAAGGCAGCAGGCGCGCAAAUUACCCACUCCCGGCACGGGGAGGUAGUGACGAAAAAUAACGAUACGGGACUCAUCCGAGGCCCCGUAAUCGGAAUGAGUACACUCUAAACCCUUUAACGAGGAUCAAUUGGAGGGCAAGUCUGGUGCCAGCAGCCGCGGUAAUUCCAGCUCCAAUAGCGUAUAUUAAAGUUGUUGCGGUUAAAAAGCUCGUAGUCGAAUUUGUGUCCCGCGCCGCCGGUUCAUCGUCCGCGGUGUUAACUGGCGUGCCGCGGGACGUCCUGCCGGUGGGCUUAGCUCUUCGGGGCGGUCCAACUCAAUCCCGCCGCGGUGCUCUUCACUGAGUGUCGAGGUGGGCCGGCACGUUUACUUUGAACAAAUUAGAGUGCUUAAAGCAGGCUAAAACUUCGCCUGAAUACUGUGUGCAUGGAAUAAUGGAAUAGGACCUCGGUUCUAUUUUGUUGGUUUUCGGAACCCCGAGGUAAUGAUUAAUAGGAACGGAUGGGGGCAUUCGUAUUGCGA